UACGGAGGGUGCAAGCGUUAUCCGGAUUCACUGGGUUUAAAGGGUGUGUAGGCGGAUAUUUAAGUCAGUGGUGAAAUCUCAAGGCUCAACCUUGAAACUGCCAUUGAUACUAUUUAUCUUGAAUAUCGUUGAGGUAGGCGGAAUAUAUCAUGUAGCGGUGAAAUGCUUAGAUAUGAUAUAGGACACCGAUUGCGAAGGCAGCUUGCUAAACGAUUAUUGACGCUGAGGCACGAAAGCGUGGGGAUCAAACAGG
rnacentral:rRNA from 1 species